GGGAGGGUCAUUGGAAACUGGGAAACUUGAGUGCAGAAGAGGAGAGUGGAAUUCCACGUGUAGCGGUGAAAUGCGUAGAGAUGUGGAGGAACACCAGUGGCGAAGGCGACUCUCUGGUCUGUAACUGACGCUGAGGAGCGAAAGCGUGGGGAGCGAACAGGAUUAGAUACCCUGGUAGUCCACGCCGUAAACGAUGAGUGCUAAGUGUUAGGGGGUUUCCGCCCCUUAGUGCUGCAGCUAACGCAUUAAGCACUCCGCCUGGGGAGUACGGUCGCAAGACUGAAACUCAAAGGAAUUGACGGGGGCCCGCACAAGCGGUGGAGCAUGUGGUUUAAUUCGAAGCAACGCGAAGAACCUUACCAGGUCUUGACAUCCUCUGACAACCCUAGAGAUAGGGCUUUCCCUUCGGGGACAGAGUGACAGGUGGUGCAUGGUUGUCGUCAGCUCGUGUCGUGAGAUGUCUGGGUUAAGUCCCGCAACGAGCGCAACCCUUGAUCUUAGUUGCCAGCAUUCAGUUGGGCACUCUAAGGUGACUGCCGGGUUGACAAACCGGAGGAAGGGUGGGGAUGACGUCAAAUCAUCAUGCCCCCUUAUGACCUUGGGGCUACACACGUGCUACAAUGGACAGAAACAAAGGGCUGCAAGACCGCAAGGGUUUAGCCCAAUCCCCAUAAAUCUGUUCUCAGUUCGG
rnacentral:rRNA from 2 species